AAGAUUUUAAUGAUCGAACAGAUCAAAAUUUUAAACUUUUGCAUUUAAAUUUUAUCUUAAUCCAACAUCGAGGUCGCAAACUUUUUUUUUUAUCUGAACUAAAAAAAAAUAUUACGCUGUUAUCCCUAAGGUAAUUUUUUCUUAUAAUCAUUAUUAAUGGAUCAUUUAAUCAUUUAUUUAUGUUUAAUUUUUAAAAAAAGUUAAUUUAAUUUUUCUAUCACCCCAAUAUAAUAAUUAAUUUUAUUUUAAUAAAAAUUUUUAUAUAAUUUUAAAAUAAAAAUAAAUAUAAAACUCUAUAGGGUCUUCUCGUCUUUUAAAAUUAAUUUAGCUUUUUAACUAAAAAAUAAACUUCUAAAAAUAAAUAAGAGACAGUUUAUAUUUCAUCAAAUCUUUCAUACAAGUUUUCAAUUAAAAAACUAUUGAUUAUGCUACCUUUGUACAGUCAUUAUACUGCAGCCCUUUAAUUAUUAUCAGUGGGCAGAUUAGACCUUAAAUUAUAUUCAAAAA
rnacentral:rRNA from 1 species